AAGAAGUCCAAAAGGUAAUUAAAGAAGACCAAAAGGUAAUUAAAGAAGUCCAAAGGGUAAUUAAAGAAGUCCAAAAGGUAAUUAAAGAAGUCCAAAAGGUAAUUAAAGAAGUCCAAAAGGUAAUUAAAGAAGUCCAAAAGGUAAUUAAAGAAGACCAAAAGGUAAUUAAAGAAGUCCAAAAGGUAAUUAAAGAAGACCAAAAGGUAAUUAAAGAAGUCCAAAAGGUAAUUAAAGAAGUCCAAAAGGUAAUUAAAGAAGUCCAAAAGGUAAUUAAAGAAGUCCAAAAGGUAAUUAAAGAAGUCCAAAAGGUAAUUAAAGAAGUCCAAAAGGUAAUUAAAGAAGUCCAAAAGGUAAUUAAAGAAGUCCAAAAGGUAAUUACAGAAGUCCAAAAGGUA